UCCUGUGGCUCUGAGCGGUAGAGCGCUGUGCUAGCAACACAAAGGUCUUGGGUUCAAACCUCAGGGGAA